UGAAGUCAAUCAUCUUGAUUUAUGUCGGCGUGUGAGCUUGGUGUUAUAGUGUGAGGUAGCCUAAAGGCCGCGCGAGAUACACGCAAAAAUGUUCCCUUCUAUGGCACGUGCCAGCCAGGUGCCUCUCUGGGCGCGAGCUUGGUUCACUGGAGUAAGGCGCAUCAUCCAUCUCUCCUGCUCUGACUAGAUUACCGGAGACUUCGGCCUUCGCUCACUACGGCGAUGUGAGAGCGGCCCAUAACGACGAAAAGCAGCCAUAUGGUGUCUCUCCUGCAAGUUACUACCUGGUGCUGCUGCUGUUCAAGAUGCUGUUCAAGAUGCAUGCUUCGUAAAUAAAACUGAUGGAUGGAUAAUGUUUUAAGCGAAUGAGGGAAUUGGAACAACAUGAUAGCUGCAUUCGCACCCCUUCAGGCAGGUUCCCCGGGGAACACGCUCUACUACAGUCUUCCCCCAUCCACUCCACAGUUCUGAGAUGCACAGAGAUGAUAACACACUCUGUGCUGGAAUACAGUGAAGUGUGCAGCUGCAGCGGUUAGGAAGAAUGAAUCAUGGAGUUGCUGGAAGGACUGGAGGAAGCUACUGGGAUAAGCAGGAAUGAUAACAGACGAACAGGAUCUGGAGGCAGCACUCAAUCCCGAGUCCAGAGGGUGGAGGAGACGCUGUGAUGUGUCCGUGGUUGUGGUGGGUUCACGCUGAGCAGGGAGAUUGAAGAGGGAUACUCCAGAGCACACUCUCCAUGAGCAAGGGAGGAAAGAGGAAAAAGAGAUCUGUGAUGUGGUGAGAUGAAGGAGAAGGAGGGAUAGAUGAUGUGGUGCAGCGGGUGGGGACACUUUCGUAAGCUGGAUGAUCACAGCCAAACCGCCCCCCACCCCCACCCCUUGUCUGCGGCCUCACUCCAAAACAUCCCUAACAGAUCAAUCCAUUACUUACUGAAAAACACCAUGGCCUGUCUGUGAUUUUUGUCUGGUGGUCACGCUGAGAGAAUGCAAGUUUCUCUACAGUUCUCAAAGCAAUAAAUGUGAGCAGAAAAUGAGAGGUAAUAUUAUAUCAACAUGACAUGGAAAGGUAACGUUUUGUCUUUUGGUUCUGUCUUAAGUAAAUAAGUCAAAUUUAGCUCAUGUCCGGUUUGUUUUGCUGGGUCAUGGCACCAGAAAAUCAGCAGCAUACAAAACAAACAAAUGAAACCAAGAAAAAAUACACAGUAAGCAAACUUCUGACCUUGUUGACCACUUGUGUCCAUAGCAACAGCCGAAUGAACCACAAUUUAUAACACAAGAUACUGUGGGAAAACUUUAAUUUUAGCUUUUUGACUUGUUUCUUCAACUUUAGGCACAUUUAUGCCCAAGGGGUUGAUUUUUUUUUUUUUUUUUUUUUUUUUUUGUAUGAAAACUUCCUGGAAUCUUUUUACAUUCUUGCAUUUUGGCAGACACUUUUAUUUUAUAUUGCAUUCAAGGUACACAUUUUAUCAGUACCUUGACGUUGUUAGUGCCAUGCUCUGUUGUUGGAGCUCAAAGGCUUUUUUUACCAUUUAUACAGUCAAGCCAAAAAUUAUUCAGACAUUUUUCAUAUUUUUGAUAUAUUUUUACUAGUGGGUGCAGGACACUGUAGUUCAUUUAUGUAAGUGAGGAUAGCAAAAUAAAGUAAACUGUGAUAUAUUAUACCCAAACAUUCUUCAUACAGUGGA